GUCGGGAGUUAGGAAAUGUAGACUCGCUAAUAUCGGGUCUAUUUGACAAAGGCUCCAAAGGAAGCCACGGCUAACUCUGUGCCAGCAGCCGCGGUAAUACAGAGGUGGCAAGCGUUGUUCGGAAUUAUUGGGCGUAAAGAGCACGUAGGUGGAGUUGUAAGUCAGACGUGAAAGCCUUCUGUUCAACGGAAGAAUUGCAUCUGAAACUACAAACCUUGAGUGUAGGAGGGGAGAGUGGAACUUCUGGU
rnacentral:rRNA from 1 species